rnacentral:rRNA from 1 species
GGGUUGUGAGGUUAAGCGACUAAGCGUACACGGUGGAUGCCCUGGCAGUCAGAGGCGAUGAAGGGCGUGCUAAUCUGCGAUAAGCGCCGGUAAGGUGAUAUGAACCGUUAUAACCGGCGAUACCCGAAUGGGGAAACCCAGUGUGAUUCGUCACACUAUCAUUAACUGAAUCCAUAGGUUAAUGAGGCGAACCGGGGGAACUGAAACAUCUAAGUACCCCGAGGAAAAGAAAUCAACCGAGAUUCCCCCAGUAGCGGCGAGCGAACGGGGAGGAGCCCAGAGCCUGAAUCAGCAUGUGUGUUAGUGGAAGCGUCUGGAAAGGCGCGCGAUACAGGGUGACAGCCCCGUACACAAAAGCGCAUGUGCUGUGAGCUCGAUGAGUAGGGCGGGACACGUGGUAUCCUGUCUGAAUAUGGGGGGACCAUCCUCCAAGGCUAAAUACUCCUGACUGACCGAUAGUGAACCAGUACCGUGAGGGAAAGGCGAAAAGAACCCCGGCGAGGGGAGUGAAAAAGAACCUGAAACCGUGUACGUACAAGCAGUGGGAGCACCCUUUGGGUGUGACUGCGUACCUUUUGUAUAAUGGGUCAGCGACUUAUAUUCUGUAGCAAGGUUAACCGAAUAGGGGAGCCGGAGGGAAACCG